rnacentral:rRNA from 1 species
UGGCGGCAGGCUUAACACAUGCAAGUCGAGCGGUAGCAGAUCUAGCUUGCUAGAUGCUGACGAGCGGCGGACGGGUGAGUAACGCGUAGGAACCUGCCCAGUAGUGGGGGAUAGCCCGGGGAAACUCGGAUUAAUACCGCAUACGCUCUACGGAGGAAAGAGGGGGCUUCGGCUCUCGCUAUUGGAUGGGCCUGCGUGAGAUUAGCUAGUUGGUGAGGUAAUGGCUCACCAAGGCGACGAUCUCUAGCUGGUCUGAGAGGAUGAUCAGCCACACUGGGACUGAGACACGGCCCAGACUCCUACGGGAGGCAGCAGUGGGGGAUAUUGCACAAUGGGCGCAAGCCUGAUGCAGCCAUGCCGCGUGUGUGAAGAAGGCUUUCGGGUUGUAAAGCACUUUCAGUGGGGAGGAAGGCCUCGUAGUUAAUAGCUGCGAGGAUUGACGUUACCCACAGAAGAAGCACCGGCUAACUCCGUG